rnacentral:rRNA from 1 species
UACGUAGGGGGCAAGCGUUGUCCGGAAUUAUUGGGCGUAAAGCGCGUGUAGGCGGUCCGGUAAGUCCGCUGUGAAAGUCGGGGGCUCAACCCUCGAAUGCCGGUGGAUACUGUCGGGCUAGAGUGCGGAAGAGGCGAGUGGAAUUCCUGGUGUAGCGGUGAAAUGCGCAGAUAUCAGGAGGAACACCAAUUGCGAAGGCAGCUCGCUGGGACGUUACUGACGCUGAGACGCGAAAGCGUGGGGAGCAAACAGG